AUGACUUUCAUCACCAUCUUCAUCUGGACACUGACUCUCUGUUUUCAUGAGUCCAGAGGACAGGUGACUGUGACUCAGACUCCUGAAGUGAAAUCUGCUCUUCCAGGGGACACAGUCACUAUUAACUGUAAAACUAGUCCUGCAGUGUUUUACUACACUGACAGUUCCUAUGGUCACUACAUGCAGUGGUACCAACACAAACCUGGACAGGCUCCUAAGCUCCUCAUUAAAUUUGCUAACCAGUUAGAGUCAGGAAUUCCAAAUCGUUUCAGUGGCAGUGGAUCUGGGACUGACUUCACCCUGACCAUCAGAGGAGUCCAGACUGAAGAUGCAGGAGAUUAUUAUUGUCAGAGUUACCAUCUCAUUAACGAAAAGAAGCGAAAUAGAGCCGGCUCAGAGUCAGAUCAUGGCUGUGCCCCACCUGCCUUUGUUAAAGGGCGUGAUGAAAAGUAUCAAAAACUAAGGAAUUAA